CAGUCUCUCGCGGGAACUUUUAUUUACUUUCCUGAAGCAGGUGGUGAAUCAUUCCGCUUCCCGCCUCGCGGCCACAUAGUCUGGGAUAACUCUCGCCAGAAGGAAAUCUUUCAAAUACCAAUGAGAAGCAUCAGCGUGGACAUGGUAUGGAGGCAAUCUAGGAAAAAACGAAUGCUAAAGGUGGGUAUUGGAACAGACGACUUCUGACUCCUGUCAGCAGGCUCUAGCCUCAUGCCAUAAAAUGCUACAGAAACUAAACAAAAUAAUAUAACACAUGUUUGACAUAACCUUAUCAACUGCAUUCCUUAGGUGAGCCAUUAAGUUUAUUUCCAUGUGCUGAUAUCUUGCAGAAAUACAGUACUUAGACCAAUCUUA